ensembl:lncRNA
CUCCAGCCCAGGGAGAGGUGGGCAGGCGUUGAGGACCUAUUUGAGGCCGCCCUGGUUCACCCUGGUCUCAGUGGCAGCCCCUCUCCUCAGCUUCUCCUACAGACCAGAUGCUUCUACUCUCUAGGGCUGCCUGGAGCUCACUGUGUUUAGCGGUGGUUGCCAUGGCAGCAGAGCUGACUCAGGACCAGGUGUCGUGGACCAGGAGAGAAGGGGAAGCCAUCUCCUUCAGAUGUACAGACACUGACCAGUGUGGUUAUAUCCGCUGGUACCAGAAGAAAAAUAAGAAAACAUUCACCCUGAUUCUUCUUAUUCAAAAGCGUAAUGGUUACGUUGUCAAAGGAUACAACCAUCCUCAGGAACAUGAUUUCUCAUCAGUCCUCAAAGAGAACAGCUGGGAGUUGUCGCUUCAGAAGGUGAAAGCGUCCCAUUCUGCCACCUACUACUGUUCCUGUGGUUUCACACAGUGAGACGUUCUCCUUCCUGCCCGUACAAAAACUCUGGUGAUCAAAUGACCUUGCAGGUCAUGUCUCAAUGGCUGUUCAAUCUACAGCACGACGUUGAUGCUAACAGACAUGAGCCGGAAGGUCUGAAGACAAUCACUGUUUCACAGUUAGAUCUCAGCCUGCACCUUACUGUCUGUAGGUUUCAAUUCAAGCCUUGUUCUCUCCUUGCUAUUGUGCAGUUAAUGUCAUCACCGAACUGGUUGUUGGUUUGGGUGAGCUGGAUCAAACUAAAGAGUAACAGACAGACAUCUGGAGGCUCUAAUAGAAGUGGACGACUUUAGGCUAGAACCUCAAAAAACAACAAUCUAGUAAAAUACUGAGCUCUGUGUAAAUGAAGCACUCUCAGGAAGAUCUUAAAUUGUCGUAGUCCAUGGAAAGGAACAAGUCUUCAGUGGUUAUUAAAGCCUACGUUGAAGAGGGAAGAAGACCGUGGAGACAUUUCUACUCAACACAAGUAGUGACAUUAAGUCUCCUUAUUUACUCUGCAUUCUUUUACAAAGCCCUCCUCUCAGGACAAGAACAUUCAUCCUCACGCCUCCCUGGUGGUGGAGACUGACCAUCUAUAGGUGAUUGAUGUGAUCAGCAAGUAAUUGAUCAGCGCUGACUGCAUCACAGACAGUGAGCAGAGGUUUAUGAUACAGGAUAUUUCACUGUGGGCGUCUAUAUCUUUGGCCGCGGCACCACCCUGGUUGUUACAGGUAAGAUACCUUCCUCUUGGUUUCUCUGUCUUUGUGUUUCAUUUUAUGUUUGGGAGGAUAUGAGUGUCAUAAUAUUUCCGGUUGUGUUUGACCUGUUUGAGUUGUACUGGAGAACUCAGUGUUGUCUGAAGAUUCAUUUUUGUAUUGCUUAAAAUAUCACUAAUGCUAUUAAUAAACUGCCUCAUUUUAAUUUGUCGGU